rnacentral:rRNA from 1 species
AUUGAACGCUGGCGGCAUGCCUUACACAUGCAAGUCGAACGGCAGCACGGGUGCUUGCACCUGGUGGCGAGUGGCGAACGGGUGAGUAAUACAUCGGAACGUACCUUAUCGUGGGGGAUAACGCAGCGAAAGCUGUGCUAAUACCGCAUACGCCCUGAGGGGGAAAGCGGGGGAUCGAAAGACCUCGCGCGAUUAGAGCGGCCGAUGCCUGAUUAGCUUGUUGGUGGGGUAAAUGCCCACCAAGGCGACGAUCAGUAGCUGGUCUGAGAGGACGAUCAGCCACACUGGGACUGAGACACGGCCCAGACUCCUACGGGAGGCAGCAGUGGGGAAUUUUGGACAAUGGGGGCAACCCUGAUCCAGCAAUGCCGCGUGAGUGAAGAAGGCCUUCGGGUUGUAAAGCUCUUUUGUCAGGGAAGAAACACCGGCUCUAACACAGUCCAGGACUGACGGUACCUGAAGAAUAAGCACCGGCUAACUACGUGCCAGCCGCCGCAGUAA